UAAAUGUUCCGGGUCCCAGAGCUGCCCAUCGAGCCAUGAAGUAUGCCUGAUUAAUUGAAAAAUCUAAAGAGAUAAAGACCAUAUGGCUGCUAAACCAAUGAUCGCAAAAGUCUUGUUAUAGAUUGGUCACUCUGCUUCUUGCCCUGUGAUGGCUGAGACAGCUUCAGUCGAGCUAACACCCUGAAUUAGAUAAGCAGCAGAAAAGUGUAAUCCCCUCCGCGAAGGAGAGAAAGAAGUCUGGGCUUCUCUGCUUAGGCUGCUGCCCCUGCGACCCGGCCCCAGAUAAGCGGAAGAAGAUGGAUAGAUGGAUGGAUGGAUGGAUGGACAGUGUAUUAUCAUUUCUGAUUUUGUCUUAUACAUCAGAUCAUGAGUCAAUAUUAUUUAAAGUAGUUUCCUCAAUUACUCAGUGUAAUUUCU